rnacentral:misc_RNA from 1 species
CCGGGAUUGAUUUCGAAAGAGAUCAUCUCCAUUGACCCUAUGUUUAUGUUCUGUCUACUUUGGCAAGACGUUUUUCUGGGGCAACCUAGAAAAACCACUGACUGUAACAAGUGAGUGUGUCCUUGCUUGCCAAAGGUUUUUUUUAACUCUAUUACUUUUGAAGUCUGAGUAAACAAACAAAUAAAUUA